rnacentral:rRNA from 1 species
GUGUUGUAGAAGGUUGAAAGUUCUUUCUACAAUCUCUGCCUUCCUGACCAUAUCAAAAUACAUCUUGUAUUUCAUGUUAGUUAGCUGAAGAUACACAAGGGACAACUAGCUAUUCCUAAUCAACAGUUGCCACUUGUUAGUCUUGAUGGGAAAAUCAGAACUCAACCAGUCCAAGUAAUGAAAACCAGAUCACUACCGAGACAAGGAGUGCUAGUCAGUGGCUAA